AAAAAUAAUCGGGCAUCAAACGUACAACCGAAGCUUUAGGAUUACUGGCGAUGUCAGUAUAUCGGUAGGGGAGCAUUCUAAACUGCAUUGAAGGUGUUACGCGAGUAAUGCUGGAGCGUUUAGAAAAGAAAAUGUAGGCAUAAGUAACGAUAAUUUGGGUGAAAAACCCAGACGCCGUAAGACUAAGGGUUCCUGAUCAACGCUAAUCGGAUCAGGGUUAGUCGGGUCCUUAGGCAAAGCCGAAAGGCGUAGCUGAUGGCAAAAUGGUGAAUAUUCCAUUACCUGCUAUAACCUCGAUGGAGUAACGGAGUAGUGAAAGGACUGCGCACUUACGGAAUAGUGCGUUAAAGGGUGUAGUUAUAUUUUGUGUAGGUAAAUCCGCACGGGAUGAUGAACCUGAUAGUACAACAAAGCUUCGGCCGCGUUGAUAAUGUCCCUAAUCAGACUUCCAAGAAAAACUUCUAAGGUUCGGUUAUAGCAGCCCGCACCGUAAACCGACACAGGUAGUCGAGGAGAGUAUCCUCAGGCGCUCGAGUGAUCCGUGGUAAAGGAACUAGGCAAAUUGACGCUGUAACUUCGGGAUAAGGCGUACUGCAGUAAUGCAGUCUCAGUAAAAUGGUCCAACCAACUGUUUAACAAAAACACAGGGCCCUGCAAAAUCGAAAGAUGACGUAUAGAGCCUGAUACCUGCCCGGUGCUGGAAGGUUAAGGAAGGAUGUCCGGCGCAAGCCAAAGCUUCUGACUGAAGCCCCAGUAAACGGCGGCCGUAACAAUAACGGUCCUAAGGUAGCGAAAUUCCUUGUCGGGUAAGUUCCGACCUGCACGAAUGGUCUAAUGAGUUGGACACUGUCUCUACCACGAGCUCGGUGAAAUUGUAGUAUCGGUGAAGAUGCCGGUUAAUCGCAACGGGACGGAAAGACCCCGUGAACCUUCACUACAACUUAACAUUGAUUUUGAACCACAGACGUGUAGGAUAGUUGGGAGACUAUGAAGCAGCUUCGCCAGGAGUUGUGGAGUCAACGUUGAAAUACCAACCUUCUGUUGUUUAGAGUCUAACACCUCACGGUGGACAUUGUUUGGUGGGUAGUUUGACUGGGGUGGUCGCCUCCUAAAAAGUAACGGAGGCUCGCAAAGGUACCCUCAGUACGGUUGGUAAUCGUACGCAGAGCGCAUUAGUAAAAGGGUGCUUGACUGUGAGGCAAACAAGCCGAGCAGGAGCGAAAGCUGGCUAAAGUGAUCCGGUGAUUCUGCAUGGAAGGGUCAUCGCUCAAAGGAUAAAAGGUACUCCCGGGAUAACAGGCUGAUCUCCCCCAAGAGCUCAUAUCGACGGGGAGGUUUGGCACCUCGAUGUCGGUUCGUC
rnacentral:rRNA from 1 species